UUGAGAUGUUGAAUGCACCAUAGUUGUUAUUAUUAUUAUUAUUGUUAUCUCUGGAGACAGUGGGCUAACAGAAAACUCAAAUCUACAGGAGUUUCUCAUCUCCUUUUCUAGGUCAGGUGCCUCAGCGUGGAUUCCCAGGACUUUAUAAGAUGAUGCACUGAAGGAUUUCAGCAAGAAAAUUCUGGAGUGUCAACUGAUACGUUUUUCAGUCUCACCUUGCUCACUGUUUGAGUAUUGUCACAUACACAUGCGUAUUAUUAGAGGGAAACUAGCAGCUUUGUAAGAAGAGGAAGGGAGACCUGAGCCCUCUCACCACGGGUUGCCCUGCACCACCACAGGACUCUGCAGAGAGUCCCCGCCAGCAAGAGGAUCUUCACCAGAUGUGGCCUCUUGACCUGAGACUUCUCAGCCUCCAUAACUCAACAAGAAUGACUUGAAUCCUGCCAGCAUGUUGGCGUUGUUUGUGCAAAGGGAGUUUAAAAGGCCUCUUGGAGGGCUGGGACGAUGGCUGGUGGCCCCAUGCCUUGUGCGGAAGUGGACAUGAGGCAGGCAUAUUGCUACCGAUGACCCCACAGCAGAACCAGAGGGGUUUUAUCCCAGAGGCUGUUUUAGGACAGACAAAUCUCCAAUGAAAGCUACGCUGUAAUCACACGAGAAGAAACUGUCAUUCAAGAGGCCAAGGUGGUGGCACAAUAAGGCCAUUUAUUCAAAGGUGUCAUCUUGCGGGAGGGCAGAAGGAUUCCUUGGAGCCUGGGGGCCAGCAGGACAGAGGAAACAGAAAGUACAUGGCCGAUGAUGUCUUUCAACCACAGAAUGGGCUGGAGGAAGCAGGGGACCCACCGUUUGAAUAAACCCAGUGGAAAAACAGAAGCCCCAUUUCAUACUUGACUCAGCUCUUCAAGUUUAAAUCUUGAAUCUCCUCAACUACACGGAACAGUGUUUCUCCCAAGUCAUCUGACACCCACUGUGUUCUCUGGAUCAUUCCUUCCUAGAGAACCUUGCUCUUGGAGGGCUGUGAUCUGCUCUCACCCACUUGCCUUUCUGAUCCACUGAGUGCAUCUCAACAGUCAUUUGGGGCGUUCUGAUCACUCAUGACCAGGAAGGGUUGGGUGGCUCGUGGAGCUUGGGAAGCGCUCUCACUGUGGUGAUCCCUAUCGGUGGUCAUGGGGUUGCCACAUUGAGCCACGUUUCUGCCCUCAUCUCUCUAUAUGUUACCGUGGAAUCUCUGACUGAGGACCCGUGGACUCACCCAAUGUGAUAAAGUCCUGAAGCCCAGCCAGGACUUCCGACCCCAACCGCAGGGCUUUCCAAUAUACAGACGCAUAAAACUUGAGAGGAAAUCGACUUAGAAACCUGAAGCUGGAAAACUGGUUGCCUGACAUUCUGUGCAAGACUGAAUAUCUGAGGAACGAGGGCGUGUAACUUUGGGAACAUGUUUUUUCCGGCCUAUGUAGACCCCAGGAAACUUUGCAGUUCUUCCCCAAGUAUGGAUGGAGUCAAACUUGAUGUCCUUUCAUCCCCCCAUCCCAUCCCCUAAUCUGUAUCCUUUGGAAAUUUUAGAGUGCCAGGCCUCAUGUAAAUACACUGAAAACAAUUUAAGUCAUUUAUAUUCUACUAAGCCAACAGUUCUUAGUGGUGGAAGAAGAUGGGGUCUUACAUGAAUGAAAGGGUCUUGGCUAUUUGCAUGGAUAUCAACAGAAGGACUAGAUGCUUGCACUAAAAGAAAAAGCUGAGAGAUGGGGGCAGGAAGUGGGGAGCUGGGACCCAAGCCCCACCUUCCUGAGUCUGCCUGUCACCAGGAAGGCUGGAGAUGCCAGACGCUGUCCUGAUGCUCCUCUGGGUGGUGUCUCCACCUGCUUGUUUUCAGGAGAGGCCUGGCAGAGGAGGUACAGGACAUUGCUAAGUGGAUUGAAUAAUGUUCCCCCAAAUUCAUGUCUAACCAGAACCUCAGAAUGUGACUUUAUUUAGAAGCAGGGUCUUUGCAGAUGUUAAGUCAAGAUAAGGUCAUAGUGAAUUAGAGUGACCCCAAAUCCAAUGCCUGCUCUGCUUCUAGGAAGGGGAGACACAGGAAGAAGGCUGCGUGAAGCUGGAGGCAGAGACGGGGGCAGUGCAGCCAUGGCCAGGGAAUGGUGGCUGGGACAGGCAGGGAAGGUUCCUCCCUGAGCCUUCAGGGCAGCGUGGCCCUUCCACCGCCUUGUUGGCAGACUUCUGCCCUCCAGAAUUAUGAGGCGAUACAUUUCUGUUGUUUUAAGAACAAAAGAAUUAACACCUAGUUUGUGGCCGUUUUUAUGGCAGCCCUAGGAAAUGCAUACAGCUGAGGAGACCUUCUUCCAGGGACCUGCCUCUGAAAGCAUACAAGCAAGUGCCUUCCAGCUUCUGGCGGGGCGGUGGCACAGACAGCUUGGCUUGCUGCGGUGGUCGUUUUCCUCUUUGUGAGCAUGUGCUGGAGAGAUAAAGGCGAGGGAGGAAGUGGAGGAGGCUGGGGCUGCAGAGCCGAGGAAACCGAUGGAAACCCUCUGAGAAGCAGCAACCCAGCGGGUGUGAAGGUUGGCCUCAAUGCCACGGACAGGACUCUACGGAGGGGGCUGGAGUGGGAGAACUUCGUCGUCACAGCUCUGCCCCUCACUCACUAUGUGACCCAAGCAGGACACACUUCCCAGCUGCCUCAAUCUCCUCAUCUGAGGAAUGGGCUGAUUCACACAGUAUCACAUCCUAGGGUGUGCUGAGGAUGUCACACAUAUCCCUGGCAAGGCUGCUGGGAGGACUGAGCGCGUGAGCAGGUGCAAGACCAUUGUCUCCCCGGGUCAGUGCUGUAAAACAGUAGCUGCUAGAGGAUUACAGUGAUACUGUCGUUUCCUUAGUAACAGACGUUGCUGUUUGGGAAAUUCCUAUAGCCAACGGCCAAGCUCCUGGCAUUUAAUGCUGGUGUCUCCAAAGAUUGGUUCUCAUCUCUCGAGGGCUUGUUUUUCAUAAGGGCACACUCUUGCCCCCACAGCAUGCAGGCUGACGUCACACGCUGCCCUGAAUCACACCGUGGUACCACCUGUUUCCCUGACGUAAAGCUAGGAGAGGAAUGAUGUGACCAUCCCAAAUGUUCCAGUCACCCUGACGUUUAACCCUGGCUUCUAAGAAGGCUCCAGAUGUUUCUUGUGGUUAGAGCUCCCAGAAAAUGACUCCUUCCUCUAUGAGACAUUAUCUGAUGACAAGAAGAUUCUGAGCGAUGUAGGGGAGUGAGAAUAUUUUCAUAAUAUCUGCCAUUAGAAUAACUUAGAAAUGGAAGGCCCAGGUUGAGAAAUUAGGAUCCCAUGCACACUGCACUCUUGUGAGGAGGUGCAGAAGUUACCUCUUCUCUUGGAAAUUCUCUUUCUUAGAACUCGGAUGUUUAUCAACCACCUAACUGGCUGCUUGAAGGAUGGUCACCUUUUUCUGUAUUGGUUUGCAAAGAAAGGAAGUUGCAAAAGGUCACGAAGCAACUCCAUAUCCUUUGGAAAUUUUAGCGUGCCGGGCCUCAUGUAGAUAAACUGAAAACAAUUUAAGUCUUUUAUGUUGUACUAAGUCAAGAGUUCUUUAGCAGUGGAAGAAGAUGGGGUCUUGCAUGAAUGGAAGGGUCUUGGCUAUUUGCAUUGGUAUCGAGGGAAGGACUAGAUGCUUGCACUAAACGAAAAAGCUGAGGGAUGGGAACAGGAAGUGGGGAGCAAAUCUGAGACUGAAUAAAUGUGAAUAAAAGAGCUAAGAUUGUUGAGCAGGUACUAGGAGCUGGGUCAGAUUUUAUUCCCAAGAAAUCUUAGUUAUUCUGCCUCCUUCUAGAUAGGGAAUGUGUUGCUUACCUUUGCGUCCACACCUGGCUCAUACCAACCAUGCAACCAAUAAUUGUUCAUCAGAGGAAGGUUGUCAAAGGCUCGGACAACCCUUCAGUAACUCUUUCAGGGAAGCCACCCGCCCAUUUCAUCUUAUCUGCUUGGCUUUCAGUGUUUAUCAUGUCAGUGACUCUUUGUCCCAGACCGGAGAUUGAUUUCGGUCACCUGCCGGGGUCAUUAGAGCGGUGAUGUCAUCACACAUCUGGCCCAGCUGGUUGGGACUGGGACUUCGAUGCUGUGUCUGUGACCAGGCUUGUUAGGCUUAGCAGAGAGCUGGCAUCCUGGCCACCGGCCGGGGUCAGGGUUUCCCAGCAGGGCGUCUCCUUCCUGGAAAUACCCUCUUCUCCCAGCCUUUGGUCUCCUCUCCUGCGUCUGGCGCCCAGAACCUUCCUGGGCCUCCUCUAUCCCUCCAACCACCUGCCUGGAUUAGCUAGCUUCCAGAUUCAGCAAGGAGAGGGGUGAGGGGCUGGAAGGCAGGGCCCGGCCUGGGGUCUUCUGAUGCCCUAUGCUGUGGCUUGGCUCCUUGUAGCUGCUGCUCUGUCUCUGGGCUGGAUCAGUGGGAGGUGGAGGCUCUGGAAGGAUGCAUGGCGGCUCCAGGGUUCUACCUGGCAACAGCGUGAGUCUAGCUCAUCAUUAUCAAAGGAAAUACUUACAGGUCAGAGGUACAGUUCCUUAUGGCUUGAUUUGGGCCAUGACAUCUCCCAGAAAGCGUCUUCUGAGGUGAGAGAUUUUGGCAACCUCCAGGGCAACAGGUUUCCUCUUUGCACCUCAUGACCAUCUUUCCUGGCUUAGAAAUGAAUGUCAGCCCCGGUCAAUGUACACUGUGUGUCAUUUAAGAAUUACUCAUAUAUGGGUGGAAUUACACUAACAUGUCCUCACCGCGAUGGUUCCUUCUGGGUUCCAUAAGGGAUACAAAGGUGAACUGAGCACACAUCUUGUCUUCAAGAACUCUGGCAUAGCAGGGAUACAAGUGCACACGUGUGUAUACAGACACAUACACACGCACACGCUGUAUUAGGUCUGCUGCUGCUCUAACAACUGAUCACAAACACGGUGGCUUAAAACAAUGCAAACUUACUAUCUUACACUCCUGGUGGCCAGCCACCUGACCCAGGUCUCCUGGGUCUAACGUGAAGGUGGCGGCAUUGCUCUCCUUUCUGGAGAUUCUUUUCUCCUGUGCUUUCCAGCUUCUUCCUGCCCCGGGCUUGUGGCCCCUUCCUCUGUUUCUGACCCUUCCGUGCUUACACCUGUCCGUGCCCACAUCGGGGAAAGGAUCCCCACUUUAAGGGCUCGUGUGAUGAGAUUGGGCUCACCUGAAUAGUCCAGAAGAAUUUUCUCGUCUCAACCUUGAUCACACCUGCAAAGUCCCUUUUGCCAUGGAAAGUAACAUACUCAUGGGUUUCGGGGAUUGGGAAAUGGCCCUAUUUUGCCAUAUUUUGCUGGGGGCGGGGAGGAUAUUAUUCUGCCUACCAUAAACAUGUGCACACAAAUAGUAACAAUAAGUAUAAAUUUAUGUUUAUAUAUGUAUAAACAGUUCCUAUAAUACAACAUAGAUGAGUGAUUGGGAGUUUAUUGGAGCUCCUGCCUGGGGGCGUACUCCAGAUCUGGGUUGGAGUUGGGGGCAGUGUUGUGUAGGGGAUGAGUUUGCAAAAGCAUACAUUCAAGAACAAUGAAGUAUGACACACGUCGCUGUGUCAUACCUUCAUAUCUGUCAAUCAUCUAUCUACCUAUUUUUAUUUUGUGUAUUUUUUU